GGCGGACGGGUGAGUAACGCGUAGGAAUCUACCUAAUAGUGGGGGAUAGCCCAGGGAAACUUGGAUUAAUACCGCGUACGCCCUAAGGGGGAAAGCGGGGGAUCUUCGGACCUCGUGCUAUUAGAUGAGCCUGCGUAAGAUUAGCUAGUUGGUGAGGUAAGAGCUCACCAAGGCGACGAUCUUUAGCUGGUCUGAGAGGAUGAUCAGCCACACUGGGACUGAGACACGGCCCAGACUCCUACGGGAGGCAGCAGUGGGGAAUAUUGGACAAUGGGGGCAACCCUGAUCCAGCCAUGCCGCGUGUGUGAAGAAGGCCUUCGGGUUGUAAAGCACUUUCAGAUGUGAGGAAAGGUUGCAGAUUAAUACUCUGUAGCUGUGACGUUAACAUCAGAAGAAGGACCGGCUAACUCCGUGCCAGCAGCCGCGGUAAUACGGAGGGUCCGAGCGUUAAUCGGAAUUACUGGGCGUAAAGCGCGC
rnacentral:rRNA from 1 species